rnacentral:rRNA from 1 species
CCUACGGGUUGCAGCAGUGAGGAAUAUUGGACAAUGGUCGAGAGACUGAUCCAGCCAUGCCGCGUGCAGGAAGACGGCCCUACGGGUUGUAAACUGCUUUUUUACGGGAAGAAUAAUGCCCACGUGUGGGCAGAUGACGGUACCGUAGGAAUAAGGACCGGCUAACUCCGUGCCAGCAGCCGCGGUAAUACGGAGGGUCCGAGCGUGAUCCGGAAUUAUUGGGUUUAAAGGGUCCGCAGGCGGGUCAGUAAGUCCGGGGUGAAAGUUUGCGGCUUAACCGUAAAAUUGCCUUUGAUACUGG